AUUGAACGCUGGCGGCAGGCUUAACACAUGCAAGUCGAACGAGUGGCGGACGGGUGAGUAAUGCGUGGGAAUCUAGCUUAUGGAGGGGGAUAACUACGGGAAACUGUAGCUAAUACCGCGUACCAUAGGAUGAGGCCAAGUGGGAUUAGGUAGUUGGUGAUGGAAAGGCUAACCAAGCCGACGAUCUCUAGCUGGUCUGAGAGGAUGACCAGCCACACUGGGACUGAGCCCCGGCCCAGACUCCUACGGGAGGCAGCAGGGGGAAAUAGGUCGCAAUGGGGGCAACCUGACGCAGCCAGCCCGCGGGAAGGAAGCGGGCCUUCGGGUUUUAAAGUUCUUUCGGUAGCGAGGCGUUAACUGCAGAAUAAGCACCGGCUAACUCCCUGCCAGCAGCCGCGGUAAUUC
rnacentral:rRNA from 1 species